UGGCGGCGUGCCUAUACAUGCAAGUCGAGCGGACCGACGGGAGCUUGCUCCCUUAGGUCAGCGGCGGACGGGUGAGUAACACGUGGGUAACCUGCCUGUAAGACUGGGAUAACUCCGGGAAACCGGGGCUAAUACCGGAUGCUUGAUUGAACCGCAUGGUUCAAUCAUGAAAGGCGGCUUCGGCUGCCGUUUACAGAUGGACCCGCGGCGCAUUAGCUAGUUGGUGAGGUAACGGCUCACCAAGGCGACGAUGCGUAGCCGACCUGAGAGGGUGAUCGGCCACACUGGGACUGAGACACGGCCCAGACUCCUACGGGAGGCAGCAGUAGGGAAUCUUCCGCAAUGGACGAAAGUCUGACGGAGCAACGCCGCGUGAGUGAUGAAGGUUUUCGGAUCGUAAAGCUCUGUUGUUAGGGAAGAACAAGUACCGUUCGAAAUAGGGCGGUACCUUGACGGUACCUAACCAGAAAGCCACGGCUAACUACGUGCCAGCAGCCGCGGUAAUACGUAGGUGGCAAGCGUUGUCCGGAAUUAUUGGGCGUAAAGCGCGCGCAGGCGGUUUCUUAAGUCUGAUGUGAAAGCCCCCGGCUCAACCGGCGAGGGUCAUUGGAAACUGGGGAACUUGAGUGCACAAAAGGAGAGU
rnacentral:rRNA from 1 species